AACACAUGCAAGUCGAACGGUAACAGCAGAGCUUGCUCUGGCUGACGAGUGGCGGACGGGUGAGUAAUGAAUAGGAAUCUGCCUAGUAGUGGGGGACAACCUGGUGAAAACCAGGCUAAUACCGCAUACGCCCUACGGGGGAAAGGGGGCUUCGGCUCUCGCUAUUAGAUGAGCCUAUUUCUGAUUAGCUUGUUGGUGAGGUAAUGGCUCACCAAGGCAACGAUCAGUAGCUGGUCUGAGAGGAUGAUCAGCCACACUGGGACUGAGACACGGCCCA
rnacentral:rRNA from 1 species